rnacentral:lncRNA from 10 species
GUGAAUUGGUGUGCCUGUUCAGUCCCAGUAUGAGUGAGUGUGGAUGGGUAUGAUUAAGAUGGAAAGGCAUCCUGGCCAGGGGUGGUUCCUGCCUUGCAUUCUAAGCUUCUGCAACAGGCUCCAACCACUCACAACAGUAAACUAGAAUAUUGGAUGUUUUCAUCUUUAUUUAGAAUUUUGGUGAUGUUUUUGUGACCAGAAAUAUACCAUAGGAACUUCACUCAUGUUUAUAUCAGUCCAUGGGAAAAUUGGUUUCAGCAUACGUCAUUUCACUUAAAGUCACAGUUUCCAAGAUCCUAUCCAUGAUUUUAAGUGAGGACCUGGAGGACCUACCUUAUUUUUCAACGAUAACCUGGCUGUAAGGGCUGAAAUGCAAGAGUGGACAGAUAUCCUCAAAGAAAGACCAAACCAAAACAAAAGAAAACAAAGAAACCCAAAACCAAUUACUCUCAACAACAACAACAACAAAAGCUUGGUCACCCAUCUGAGACAGAGAUGAAGCCUUCAGGGAUUUUUAUCAAGGAUGUUAUUCAAAUAAAAACAUUUUGUACUAAAGAAAUUAUCAUGGGAGAAAAUCUUUUCCUGUGUCUGUCAGAAUCUGACUCCCAUUAUGCAAAAU